rnacentral:rRNA from 1 species
GUUUGAUCCUGGCUCAGAUCGAACGCUGGCGGCGUGUUUAAUACAUGCAAGUCGAACGGACUUAGGGGAGCUUGCUCCCCGAAGGUUAGUGGCGGACGGGUGAGUAACACGUGAGCAACCUGCCCUUCGGAGGGGGACAACAGUGGGAAACUACUGCUAAUACCGCAUAACAUAUUCUUGUGGCAUCGCAGGAAUAUCAAAGAUUUAUCGCCGAAGGAUGGGCUCGCGUCUGAUUAGCUAGUUGGUGGUGUAAUGGACCACCAAGGCGACGAUCAGUAGCCGGACUGAGAGGUUGGCCGGCCACAUUGGGACUGAGAUACGGCCCAGACUCCUACGGGAGGCAGCAGUAGAGAAUAUUGGGCAAUGGGGGCAACCCUGACCCAGCAACGCCGCGUGAAGGAAGAAGGCUUUCGGGUUGUAAACUUCUUUGACGAGGGACGAAACAAAUGACGGUACCUCGAAAACAAGCCACGGCUAACUACGUGCCAGCAGCCGCGGUAAUACGUAGGUGGCAAGCGUUGAUCGGAUUUACUGGGUGUAAAGGGCGCGUAGGCGGGUAUUCAAGUCAGAUGUGUAAUCUAUGGGCUUAACCCAUAAACUGCAUUUGAAACUGUUUACCUUGAGUGAUGGAGAGGCAGGCGGAAUUCCUAGUGUAGCGGUGAAAUGCGUAGAUAUUAGGAGGAACACCAGUGGCGAAGGCGGCCUGCUGGACAUUAACUGACGCUGAGGCGCGAAAGCGUGGGGAGCAAACAGGAUUAGAUACCCUGGUAGUCCACGCUGUAAACGAUGAAUACUAGGUGUGGGGGGACUGACCCCCUCCGUGCCGGGAGUUAACACAAUAAGUAUUCCACCUGGGGGAGUACGGCCGCAAGGNUGAAACUCAAAGGAAUUGACGGGACCCCGCACAAGCAGUGGAUUAUGUGGUUUAAUUCGAUGCUACACGAAGAACCUUACCAGGGCUUGACAUGGAGAUGACCGCCGUAGAGAUACGGUUUCCCCUUCGGGGGCAUCUCACACAGGUGGUGCAUGGUUGUCGUCAGCUCGUGUCGUGAGAUGUUGGGUUAAGUCCCGCAACGAGCGCAACCCCUGUUGCUAGUUGCUACGCGAGAGCACUCUAGCGAGACUGCCGUUGAUAAAACGGAGGAAGGAGGGGACGAUGUCAAAUCAUCAUGCCCUUUAUGUCCUGGGCUACACACGUAAUACAAUGGCGUUUAACAAUGGGAAGCGAAGCCGCGAGGCGGAGCAAAUCCCCAAAAGGCGCCUCAGUUCGGAUCGCAGGCUGCAACCCGCCUGCGUGAAGUCGGAAUUGCUAGUAAUCGCGGAUCAGCUAGCCGCGGUGAAUACGUUCCCGGGGUUUGUACACACCGCCCGUCACACCAUGAGAGCCGGGGACACCCGAAGCCCGUAGCCUAACCUUUUUAUAUUGGAGGGCGCGGUCGAAGGUGGAUUUGGUAAUUGGGGUG